rnacentral:misc_RNA from 1 species
GUUUUUGAGCGCCAAACUCAAACUUAGCUUGGCUUUCUUUUGUUUUAAUUCAGCCUUUUAAGCUUUGUUUUUACCCAGGUGGACAUGAAGCCGCAAGAACUAAUUGUUUAACUAAUUCUAGGUAGUCAUCAUUUAAUAUAAGUUUUUCAGGCCGAUAUACUUAAGGGCCUGCCAUGAAAGACUUGGCUUUCAACACAUAAAACGUGGGAAGCCUCUCCCUUUUAUUGAGGAGGCAUCCAGCCAGGCAAUGCCUUGUCUAUUUUUUAACAAAUGACCUUUCAUGAUGACGAUCUCACAACCUGAUACAUUUGAGAAUAAUUUUUUUAAUCAAAUAUAAUGUUUUAAGUUCAAACUUUAACAGUCUAAAAGUGCUUACUAGUUGUCUUCUAGAAACUAUAAAUUAGUAAACAGCUGCACAUUUAAAUGAGCACUACCAAGCUAGUUUAUCAGCAUAAUCAAGCAAGAUCUCGUUUUCCAAGUUUGUUUUGCUUAAAUAGUUGCAUUCAAACUUGUUCUUUAAUUUUAUCAAUGAAUAUAGAUGAGUUUUUAGUAAGCAUGUUUAUGAGAUGUUCACCAAGUACACUGAUUCAUUUGCUGCUCUACAAUGCUUCUUCGCUAUUCUUGACAAUUACUUUGAAUGCUCUGAAAUGUGUUUUACUAUUCAAAG